CGCGGAGAAGACUCCACAUGUUAAAACAUUUCGUUAGACAUUUUUCAUUUACUCCUAUUUAUUAGAUCACUGAAUCGAAACAGAAAACCAUACUGAAAUGAUUUAUAGAUAAAUUGUUCUGCAGAUAUAAUAGAGGUACGAAAGAUAUCAGAUGAACAUUCAAACUCAUAAAUAAGAUAAACACACAACACCAUGGAAAAAAAAAGAAAAAGACUUAUAGAC
rnacentral:lncRNA from 1 species